GCGUCAGCACAAGUGAGUGAUAGAGCCUGAAGGCCAUUACUCAGGGGAGGAUGGUGGUGAGUCAUCACGAGAGACUCCUUCCCUAGUCUGGCCACUCUGCUCCAAGCUGUGCUGGGAGACAGAGAAUAAUAACACCUUUUGGACUGGCCUUUUAAAAAUAGAAACAAUGGAGUCUGUGGCUUUAGGAGGAGAGGUCCUGGGAGUCAGAAGCUCAGUCCUGCUAGCUUGUCAUUCCUUGGAGGAUGCUGGCUACUACUUUGCCCACCGAAACAUUUAUUGAGUGCUACCCACUCCUGUGGAAAAGUCCAGUAUUGCUGGGAGAGAGAAAAGAGGAAAGGCCUCCACCUGGGGUGUCUGCAAGAAGGGCACGGACAUUGGAGGUGCAGAUGCACUGAAGAACUGAUGGGCAAGCAAGAUAGAUGGUCAAGGUUGGCACUCAGAGGGGUGACCGUUACCCGCCCCUCCACCCCUUUCCCCGGCUUGUUGUAAGGGCAAGAUCCUUCCCUCAACUCCAGAAAUGAGUCAUCAUGUGUCUA
rnacentral:lncRNA from 1 species